rnacentral:rRNA from 1 species
UACAGAGGGUGCAAGCGUUGUUCGGAAUUAUUGGGCGUAAAGAGCUCGUAGGCGGUCUGUCGCGUCGGCUGUGAAAACUCGGGGCUCAACCCCGAGCCUGCAGUCGAUACGGGCAGACUAGAGUGCUGUAGGGGAGACUGGGAUUCCUGGUGUAGCGGUGAAAUGCGCAGAUAUCAGGAGGAACACCGGUGGCGAAGGCGGGUCUCUGGGCAGUAACUGACGCUGAGGAGCGAAAGCGUGGGGAGCGAACAGG